rnacentral:rRNA from 1 species
UACGUAGGGGGCAAGCGUUGUCCGGAAUUAUUGGGCGUAAAGAGCUCGUAGGCGGCCUGUUGCGUCCGCUGUGAAAUCCCGGGGCUCAACCCCGGGCCUGCAGUGGAUACGGGCUGGCUAGAGGCAGGCAGGGGAGAACGGAAUUCCUGGUGUAGCGGUGAAAUGCGCAGAUAUCAGGAGGAACACCGGUGGCGAAGGCGGUUCUCUGGGCCUGUACUGACGCUGAGGAGCGAAAGCGUGGGGAGCAAACAGG